CGUCGCCAUCGACCCGCUGUGACCCUACCCUAGCCGCUCCCGAAGCUUCCCGUCCUUCUCCUUGCGGCGGUCGCGGGCGGCGCGGCGAGUCAGCGGCCACCUGCCUCCAUCUCCUACUUGAGCCUCCCAGCCUCAUCGUAGUUGUCCGCCUCCUCCCCCUCCGCACCGUAGAUCUUUUUCCUCGGCGCUCGGGAUGAUCAAUCAAUCCACCUUCACUCCACCGUGCGGGAGGAAGCUAAUGUGGAGUUUCUGUUUUAGAUAGAUUUCUUUUCUUUUGAGCCUUUCCUAUUUCCCGUUCCCUCGUGACCGUGAGAAGAGAGGCGACUAGGCGAGGCCAUGGCCUCCGGGCUCCGGCACCUGCUACGGCCAGCUGCAACCCCCAGGAUCCUCAACCCAGCAUUACGGCUACCACUUCUCUACAGCGACAGGUCAACAGCCAGAAUCAUUUGCUGGCGUCAAAACUUACACCCUAGCGCAACCUGUGCACCCAGCAACUGCUGGCCCUGUCGUCCUUCGAACACAACCCAGGUUCAGCUGGUACCAAGCAUUCCUCGCUGCAGGGCUCUUGCUUGGUUUUGGUGCUAGCGAUGCUGUCUUUAUCAAGAACUGUUCCUUUCUACGCUCAAGUCUUGGAUACGCAAUGUUGUAGCGGAAGGUGAUGGCACUGAAGGCAACCAACUUAAGGCCAGGAUAGAUGAGGAAACAGCCGAGGCUGUAAAGGCCUCUGCUUCGGCUGUUUAUGCUAUUGCCAAAACAAACCAACAGCUGCUUUCAAAGGAUGAAGUUUUCACUCUACCUGUUCAUGAUUUGCUGCUUCUUCUUUGCAAAUAGUUUUACUCACUCCAAUAAUAUUGAUUUGUUCUUGUUGGCAGCAAAAAAUGUUUUUUUAAGCCUGUACGAGUUAAGGUAGUAGUGUGGCUGAAAUAUAAUCUUAAGAUCAAUUAAGAAUCAUGACAUAAUAAUUAA